AUUGAACGCUGGCGGCAUGCCUAACACAUGCAAGUCGAACGGCAGCGCGGGGGCAACCCUGGCGGCGAGUGGCGGACGGGUGAGGAAUGCAUAGGAAUCUGCCUGAUUGUGGGGGAUAACGUAGGGAAACUUACGCUAAUACCGCAUAAGACCUUCGGGUGAAAGUGGGGGACCUUCGGGCCUCACGCGAUCAGAUGAGCCUAUGCCCGAUUAGCUAGUUGGCGGGGUAAGAGCCCACCAAGGCGACGAUCGGUAGCUGGUCUGAGAGGAUGAUCAGCCACACUGGGACUGAGACACGGCCCAGACUCCUACGGGAGGCAGCAGUGGGGAAUAUUGGACAAUGGGCGCAAGCCUGAUCCAGCAAUGCCGCGUGUGUGAAGAAGGCCUUCGGGUUGUAAAGCACUUUUGUUCGGGAAGAAAUCCGUGUGGUUAAUACCUGUACGGGAUGACGGUACCGAAAGAAUAAGCACCGGCUAACUUCGUGCCAGCAGCCGCGGUAAUACGAAGGGUGCAAGCGUUAAUCGGAAUUACUGGGCGUAAAGCGUGCGUAGGCGGUUUGUUAAGUCUGUCGUGAAAGCCCCGGGCUCAACCUGGGAAUGGCGAUGGAUACUGGCAGGCUAGAGUACGGUAGAGG
rnacentral:rRNA from 1 species